GACGAACGCUGGCGGCGUGCUUAACACAUGCAAGUCGAACGGAAAGGCCCUGCUUUUGUGGGGUGCUCGAGUGGCGAACGGGUGAGUAACACGUGAGUAACCUGCCCUUGACUUUGGGAUAACUUCAGGAAACUGGGGCUAAUACCGGCUAGGAGCUCCUGCUGCAUGGUGGGGGUUGGAAAGUUUCGGCGGUUGGGGAUGGACUCGCGGCUCAUCAGCUUGUUGGUGGGGUAGUGGCUUACCAAGGCAUUGACGGGUAGCCGGCCUGAGAGGGUGACCGGCCACAUUGGGACUGAGAGACGGCCCAGACUCCUACGGGAGGCAGCAGUGGGGAAUAUUGCACAAUGGGCGGAAGCCUGAUGCAGCAACGCCGCGUGCGGGAUGACGGCCUUCGGGUUGUAAACCGCUUUCGCCUGUGACGAAGCGUGAGUGACGGUAAUGGGUAAAGAAGCACCGGCUAACUACGUG
rnacentral:rRNA from 1 species